rnacentral:rRNA from 1 species
CUACGCACUCCUACGGGAGGCAGCAGUGGGGAAUAUUGCACAAUGGGCGCAAGCCUGAUGCAGCCAUGCCGCGUGUAUGAAGAAGGCCUUCGGGUUGUAAAGUACUUUCAGCAGUGAGGAAGGUGGAUAUGUUAAUAGCAUAUUCAUUUGACGUUAGCUGCAGAAGAAGCACCGGCUAACUCCGUGCCAGCAGCCGCGGUAAUACGGAGGGUGCGAGCGUUAAUCGGAAUUACUGGGCGUAAAGCGCAUGCAGGUGGUUUGUUAAGUCAGAUGUGAAAGCCCGGGGCUCAACCUCGGAAUUUGCAUUUGAAACUGGCAAACUAGAGUACUGGUAGAGGGGGUAGAAUUUCAGGUGUAGCGGUGAAAUGCGUAGAGAUCUGAAGGAAUACCGGUGGCGAAGGCGGCCCCCUGGACAGAUACUGACACUCAGAUGCGAAAGCGUGGGGAGCAAACAGGAUUAGAUACCCUGGUAG